UACAGAGGGUGCGAGCGUUGUUCGGAAUUAUUGGGCGUAAAGCGCUUGUAGGCGGCAUGUCAAGUCGCGUGUGAAAUCCCCAGGCUUAACCUGGGAAGUGCGCGCGAAACUGACGAGCUUGAGUGCCGGAGAGGGUCGCGGAAUUCCCGGUGUAGAGGUGAAAUUCGUAGAUAUCGGGAGGAACACCAGUGGCGAAGGCGGCGACCUGGACGGACACUGACGCUGAGACGCGAAAGCGUGGGGAGCAAACAGGAUUAGAAAACCCCG
rnacentral:rRNA from 1 species